CAGAGCAGAACAGAGCGCUCCUUUGCUUUUCAGUUAGUUUAGCUAGCAGAGGCAGAGAAGUCUUCCCUGGACUGUUUUUCCCUUUUCUUGGAACUGUUCGAACCUGCUCCAGACUGUGACCCAGUGAAACACCAAGGGCUCGCACUUUGUGGCCUACAGGGGCCUACUCUGGGCAGCAGCCUUUCCCAGUGCCGGAGGGACUGUUAACAGAGCGACCAGCCGUAGGAGAGACUUUCUGAAUUUGUCAUCUCUUCAGAGCAGCAAGGAACGCAGUAAUCAAGAUGAGACUAUUGGUGGAAAAGCUCAGAGAACAUGAUGGGAGCUAUAAGAGAAACAUGGAUCCUCUCUCCUGCAUAGUGGAGGCAUAAAGCUGCUUGGAAAAGAUUUUUAAUUAAAGGGGACUAGAACAGAGAGGAAUAAAAGGGUCUCAUGUCCGAGCUUCCAGAUCCAAGGAGAAACUCCCUCUACACCACAUGGAGGUACUUGCUGUUCUGGAGAGCUGUGGAACAAUUAAUGGUCUUGAAUUGAGAUCUGAGAACUUCAAGGCAAGUUCCUGUCUAUACUGACUGUCCUAAGCAAGGCAGCAAGGCACGUCAGCUGGACCUGGCCAGUGCAGCCGGCAGGUGCGCCAGCAAGGAGAGGAUGGUCAGGAACAGGGCCCAUCACCCACUCCGCAGGGAAGGGGUGGCUCCGUGCAGGAUGCAUGGCUUUCUGUACAGGUUGUA